rnacentral:rRNA from 1 species
UCACCUACGGGGGGCAGCAGUGAGGAAUAUUGGUCAAUGGGCUAAGGCCUGGACCAGCCAAGUCGCGUGAGGGAAGACGGUCCUAUGGAUUGUAAACCUCUUUUGUCGGGGAGCAACGAGGCCACGUGUGGCCGAAGUGAGAGUACCCGAAGAAAAAGCAUCGGCUAACUCCGUGCCAGCAGCCGCGGUAAUACGGAGGAUGCGAGCGUUAUCCGGAUUUAUUGGGUUUAAAGGGUGCGCAGGCGGAAGAUCAAGUCAGCGGUAAAAUUGAGAGGCUCAACCUCUUCGAGCCGUUGAAACUGGUU